UAUGGAUGAGUGCUCCACCACCACUACCAACACUUGUUUUCAUCCUUCUCACUCAAACAACAAACAUUUCCUAUAACUCUUCCUCCAUCCCCAACACUUGAACAUAUUUAAUUUAUCAAACUGCAGAAGCUCAUCUUCACGCAAAUGGGUGAGAAGCAGCAAUCAGCAUAUCCGGCCAACGGCUACAUACGGAGCGGCGACACGGAGGCCGCGGCGGCUCACAACGUCAGAGAGCAGCGCAAGAAGAAGCGCACCAAAUGCAUCCUCUACAUCCUCCUCUUCAUCGUCUUCCAAACCGCAAUCAUCACUGUCUUCGCCCUAACCGUUAUGAAAGUGAAAACUCCCAAAUUCCGUAUCCGCCAAGCCACCUUCACCUCCUUCAACGCCGCCACUGACUCUCUGCAGGCCACCAUGAGCCCUGAAUUCACGGUGAAGAACACCAACUUCGGCCGCUACAAAUACCGCAACACCACCGUCGAUUUCUUCUACAGAGGAACCAGAGUCGCCCAGGUUUUCGUCCCCAAUUCUAAAACCGGUUGGAGAUCCACCAAGAAGUUCAUUCACUCCGCCGUCCAAUUGAAUCUCAGCAACCACCCUCAGCUGGCCGCCGAUUUGAGCGCGGGAGUAGUGCCGAUCACGAGCUCGGCGCAGAUGAGAGGGAGAGUGGAACUCAUCUUCAUCAUGAAGAAGAACAAAUCUACCAAUAUGAAUUGCACCAUGGAAAUCGUCACGGCCACGCAGGCUCUUAGGAACAUCGCCUGCAGAUGAUUUCUCUCUAAAUUGUUUUUUCUUUUUUUUGAGAACCUAUAUUUUUCCAUUUUGAUUUACUACAUGUUUUCAUCAGGCCGUAGUCUACAUAUUUUUUAACGUGUUGCAUUAAUUUUUGCUUUGUUGUAACUCUUUUGUCAUGUGUGGAUAUAAAAUAUUAAUUUUCAGCACCCUCUGACCACAUCUGAGUAGCAUGACACAUUUCUAAUAUUAUAAGUUACUACUACAUUUUACGUUUAUUCUAAGCAUUAAUUUGCAGAUAUUUAUAAUAGAAAAAUAGAAUUUCUAAAUUCUUUUGCAUGGCAAUCUAAAAUUUGACAAUUUGAAUUUUUUUAUAUCUUGAUUCUCCUUUAUUUAUGAUAAUUAAUUUUUAAUUAUAAUACUAUAUAGUUUUAUAUAUUUAAUGAUUCAAUUAAUACGGACCUUACAAACCAUAAUUCAUGAAAAUUAACUUAAAUAAAUAUCUAGUAUAUUAGUUACCCUUUCCUACUCUUAAAAUACAAAUAUAUAAAAAAAUUUAAAAAAUAAAUAUAUAAAUAUUAGUCCUUUUUUCUUCUUAAAAAUAAAUUUAUAAAUAUAUGAAGUGCAUUCUUCAUGUUAACACUUCCCACUUUUAUGAAGUAAGAUGUCUAUUUAAUGCAUACAUAUUUUAUUUUAAAAUUUUCUAAUGAUGAACUUUAUAACUAUGGAUCCAAGUAUAUGUAUAUGUGUAUUUAGUACUGGAAUAUAUGGAUUAGUCAAGAAAUUGAAAUGAAAAAAAAUUCAUAAACUUCUUCUUCAAAUAUCAAUUUAAUUAUGCAUAAAUAAUAAAUCUAUCUAUACGUUGAAUCCCAUGUCGAAUGUCUAGCAAUAUUCAUCAUCAACUUAAAAAUGAAUAUGAAUUCUAAAGGAUUAAUUGCCUCUAAAUUCAUAAACUUUGGUCAAUUUCUAUUUUUUUCCCACAAUCUUUGAACUUGCGAUUUAAAACCAUCAACUAUCAAUUUUUUGCAAAUUUCUCAUGAAGUGCAUUUUCGGCAAAAAUGGGCACUGGAAUUUUCCGACGUGGCGUAAAUAACUUAAAACAUGGCAUCCACGUAUAGCCUCUCUGCCGGAUAAGACAAGACGAUGUCGUUUCGCCAAUCUUCUAGAAAUGAAAAGCGUUGAAAAUAAAGGGGUUUAUCAAAUGGUGAAAUCACAGGGCAAGAAAAAUUACAGCUGCAAUCCACGGUGAAAUUUGUUCCAUUGUAGGUGGUUCAAGAGGAGGGUUUGAGCUUGGUGGUCGACGGUGUUCGUAGGCGUAUUUGACGUCAAAAUAACUGUAGUCAAUGAACACUUACAUAUUUUCUGCGAAUUUGUGUCCCAGUCGAAUAUUUUGGUCGAGCUCUCCAUUGACGUCAAAAUAACAAUUACGCCCCAUCGGCGUCUGCGAAAGCUUCAAUUUACCUAAAGCCCCAAUAUGUUUUCUUCAAUCUCAUGUAAAAAUCGAUAGAUUAGAGUAGGAUUUGGGAAUGGAAGGUUUGAGAAGAUGAACCCUAAUUUUAUUUUUUAGAAAACACGUAAAAGAAACAACAUCGUUUCUAUUAAAAUACUACUACGGCGUUUUAGUAAUUUUUGGCGAGUCCAUGUCGGCAAAAUUCGGCUCCACGUGUGUCCUAUUUUUUUUUCUUCCGAAAAUGCGCUUCAUGAGAAUUUUGGAAAAAAAUUGAUAGUUGAUGGUUUUAAAUCGCAAGUUUAAAGACUAUGAAAAAACACGAAAAUCGAUCAAAGUUUAUGAAUUUAGAGGCAAUUAACCCAAUUAUAAAUUCUAAGUAUAUUAAUUCUAAAUGGGUUCGAAUAAUUGAACCAUGUAAUCAACAAGUAUUAUUGUACGAGUUUAGGAUUUGAACGAAUAUUAUGAUUACAUAAACAAAUUAAAAAUUUAUAUUAUAUAAUUUGACCAAAUAAAUUAAUAAUAAUAAUAAUAAUAAUAAUAAUAAUAAUAAUAAUAAUAAUAAUAAUAAUAAUAAUAAUAAUAAUAAUAAUAAUAAUAAUAAUAAUAAUAAUAAUAAUAAUAUGUAUACUCUAUAUUAUGUUGUCAUUUUUUAUUUGGUACAUGUGGACCUGUGGUGAUACAUGCCUGCAGAAGUGAUCUACUUAUGGGUAAUCAUAGAUCUCCUAUUAGAAGUAUAAUUAUUGUCUGGAUAUACUUCUAAUCCUCAUGAUAGCUACGAAAUUGUUAUGUAGCAUGUGUAUGGAUCUUAUUUCUUGAAGAAUAAUUAUCAGAUUGAUAGAUCAAGAUCAUCCAAGUAGAGUUAACUCUUGUUUUCAUCUACAAUUAGAGAAUGAUUAACUUGGGCUACAAGGGAAGAUUAGAGACAUAAAGUCUGUAUAAGGAGGUCAUAUUUUGUUCAAGAUGGCUAGGAAUUUUUUGCUUAAUAGUUCUUGCUAUGUAGUAGAGAAUUAUUGUUCCUGCUAGGUGUUCUCCCUGAACCUGUUACAGUCUGUAGUACAUUUUCAGUUACAGUAAUUUUCUUUACACUAGUAGAAGAGUGUUUGUGAGUUAUACAGUUGAGCGUACAUUAAAGUGUUGUAAACUCUUCUUUAUUUUGUUCUUGUUCAUCAAGGGAUUAGGUGGUGUCCGCCGUUGUUCACACCUUAGAAAUUAUUCGUUGUCUAGCUUUCAGUUAUUCAUCAUUGGUGAGGUUUUGAGAAGAUAUAGAGGCUAAGUAAGAUGAAGUCUUCUCAUCGAAUUGAGUUACCAUUCUUGGUGUUUUCUUGUGUUACAUUAUCUGUUACAUCAUGUGUUACUGUAUUUGUACACGUAUGCACAUUAGCUGUUAAAUCACAUCUCACCACAUAUUCUAUGAAUUAGUCAUUCUUUUAAUAAUAAUAAUAAUAAUAAUAAUAAUAAUAAUAAUAAUAAUAAUAAUAAUAAUAAUAAUAAUAAUAAUAAUAAUAAUAAUUAAUGUUGUUCAAAUUUUAAAGUUGAGGUCCCAUAGUUUUCCUGCCUACAUGCGGUCUAAUGACUUAUUUCAUUAUAAUUCAAAAAAAAAUGUUCAAAUUUUUAUAGAGAGGAUAAUCAAUCACCAAUAUAAUUUAAAUUUCAUUAAUUAUAUAUUUUGUAAAUUUAAAUGAAUUUAGGUUAUUAACAACAAUUAUUAUAUUAGAAUGUGACGAGAAGAUAAAAUUAUUUUUCUAAUAAUAUUGAGCAAAUAGAGUUAUAUUUAUUCUAAACGAUUCUAGAUAUCAUUUGAAAAGUGAACUGCAUUAUCAUCAAUUCAUCAUGAUCUCUCUCCUUCUAGUUUUCAUUCAUCGGCAAUCCCUAAAUAUUUGAUUUCUCCACAAAGAUAUCGUUAGUUGCUUUGAUACUUCCACUUCUUUCAUAAUUUACAUACAAAGCUCAAGUUAAAAUUAAUAUCACAAUUAAGGAGUAAGAUACUUAAGAAAGUAGAGAUUUUAGAGAACCAAAAUACUUUUAUCAAAAAAAAGAAGAGAGAACCAAAAUACUAACAAUUUCAUCAAAUACAUAGCCCACGGGCUAACCCAAGCUAGGAACCCAAAAUGAAUUUGGGUUUUGGUUGUUAAUUGAUUUGUUUAGUAACAACGCUAAAUGGGCCAGCCCACUUGAGUCACGGGUUUAGGCAUCAACCAGCAAUUUUAAAAUUAUUUAUUUUAGCAAUAAAAUAAAACUAUAAAAAUUAAAAUCGUUGAAAGAAGAUUUCCAGAUAGAUAGAAGCUUCUGCGCAUAAUAUAUUUUUUUGAGGGUAUAGUAAUAAAUAGUAGUACUAUUUCAACGUUCUUCACGAAUCAAGUCUCACGCGUUAACUUAAAAAAUGAUAUUCCAUCAAACAUCCCGCGCCCCCUCUCCAUCUAUUUAUACACCACUCACUCCCACCUCCCCCAUCAACAAAUCCCAUUCCUUCUCAUACAAACAACUUCUCACUUUCUGUUUCUUAUAUCUCUCAAAAUCAGUAAGUGAUGGCCGAGAAGGAGCAACAAUCAGCAUAUCCCGCCAACGGCUACACACGGAGCGGCGACACGGAGGCCGCCGCGGCUCACAACGUCAGAGAGCAGCGCAAGAAGAAGCGCACGAAAUGCAUCCUUUACAUCCUUCUCUUCAUCGUCUUCCAAACCGCAAUCAUCACUGUCUUCGCCCUAACCGUUAUGAAAGUGAAAACUCCCAAAUUCCGUAUCCGCCAAGCCACCUUCACCUCCUUCAACGCCGCCACUGACUCUCUGCAGGCCACCAUGACCCCUGAAUUCACGGUGAAGAACACCAACUUCGGCCGCUACAAAUACCGCAACACCACCGUCGAUUUCUUCUACAGAGGAACCAGAGUCGCCCAGGUUUUCGUCCCUAAUUCUAAAACCGGUUGGAGAUCCACCAAGAAGUUCAUUCACUCCGCCGUCCAAUUGAAUCUCAGCAACCACCCUCAGCUGGCCGCCGAUUUGAGCGCGGGAGUAGUGCCGAUCACGAGCUCGGCGCAGAUGAGAGGGAGAGUGGAACUCAUCUUCAUCAUGAAGAAGAACAAAUCUACCAAUAUGAAUUGCACCAUGGAAAUCGUCACGGCCACGCAGGCUCUUAGGAACAUCGCCUGCAGAUGAUUUCUUUCUGUUCAUCUCCAUUAUUUCAUUAUUCUUUUGAACCUAUGUAUGGUUUAUUUUGUCGCUUUGUUACUUGCUGUUCUCUAAAUUAAACAUUUGGUUAGUCAUAUAUAACUAUUUUAAUUAGGACGUGUUUACUUUGGAUGAUUGAUAAAAUAGAUA
rnacentral:lncRNA from 1 species